rnacentral:lncRNA from 1 species
AAAGGUUACAUGAUCACCUCAUGGGUUGGUUGUUACAAGUUUGAUACUCAAUAUAUUAAACCUUGAUUUGUAUAAAUUGAUAUAGGGCAUGCACAAAUUUUUUGUCUUUCUUUGUCAAAAGAAAAUGUGCAAAGGUUGGAUGAUCACCUUGUGGGUUGAUUCAAAGAACAAUUGAUUGGAUGUCUUACAAAUGCACACCCAUAUUGGUGAGACAAAAAACUCUAGCUCUUGUACUUGUGCUAAAUCUCUGCUUGGACCAACAUUGCCUGAAUGUGCAAUCCCUCUUAGCCUUUCC